rnacentral:rRNA from 1 species
AUUGAACGCUGGCGGCAUGCCUUACACAUGCAAGUCGAACGGUAACAGGUCUUCGGAUGCUGACGAGUGGCGAACGGGUGAGUAAUACAUCGGAACGUGCCUAGUAGUGGGGGAUAACUACUCGAAAGAGUGGCUAAUACCGCAUGAGAUCUACGGAUGAAAGCAGGGGAUCGCAAGACCUUGUGCUACUAGAGCGGCCGAUGGCAGAUUAGGUAGUUGGUGGGAUAAAAGCUACCAAGCCGACGAUCUGUAGCUGGUCUGAGAGGCCGAUCAGCCACGCUGGGACUGAGACACUGCCCAGACUCCUACUGGAGGCAGCAGUGGGGAAUUUUGGAUAAUGGGCGAAAGCCUGAUCCAGCAAUGCCGCGUGCAGGAUGAAGGCCGUCGGGUUGUAAACUGCUUUUGUACGGAACGAAAAGCCCCGGGUUAAUACCCUGGGGUCAUGACGGUACCGUAAGAAUAAGCACCGGCUAACUACGUGCCAGCAGCCGCAGUAA